UAUAUUAUGUACGUAACUGGAAGUAUAUUCCAUCGUCAUUGGUUCAAAUUCACUUUCACCGAACAAGAAAUCCCCUUUCGAUGAGCCUUUGUUGUCGAUGAACGUUCGUUUGUAGCUGUAAGUUUAUAUUGCAGUAGAUAGCAAUAUUAGCGUGUAAAGUUUAGAAGUUUACCUGGGUAACAAAGACCCUAUAGAAUGCUGGUUUUCUGGUGUUUCGUCAGUCUCGGUCUCGUCAUCGCCUCCGCUAGUCGCUCCUGUUACUUCUCCUUGCAACGAUUUCACGUCGUUCUCGUGUCCUUCGAAUGCCAAUGCAUUUGCUGGACCUUCUUGAGUAAUGCAAACAGUCUUAGAAAUCAUUUCGGAGUUCUCUGAGUUUGUAACAGGUCAUAGCACGCCAGUUCUGGGUUUACCAAAUGCAAUCAUUCGUCUUUGCUUACGAAAAGAUAAGACAGUUUAAGGCUUUCACAACGGAUGGCGCCUGACGACAAUGACUUUAAAAAGAGGGUAUUCAUCAUGGUUGCCAAGCAACAGCAUGUAAACAAAAACACAAUUUCUUAUGAUUUUGAAGUUUUUGCUAGAAGAAAUAGAUUAUUUUAGUUGAAAGGAAUCUUAAGAGCUGUACUACAAUAUGUAGCAGAUGGAAGAGUUUUAGAUAUGCAAAGUAUUAACGUACCAUACAGAUACACAGGACAUGGUUUAGCAAGAUUACUUGCAGAGACUGCAUUUACGUAUGCCAUACUAAAUCAUUACUAUAUGUUCUU